rnacentral:rRNA from 2 species
CUUAAAUUGAAGAGUUUGAUCAUGGCUCAGAUUGAACGCUGGCGGCAGGCCUAACACAUGCAAGUCGAGCGGUAGCACAGAGGAGCUUGCUCCUUGGGUGACGAGCGGCGGACGGGUGAGUAAUGUCUGGGAAACUGCCUGAUGGAGGGGGAUAACUACUGGAAACGGUAGCUAAUACCGCAUAACCUCGCAAGAGCAAAGAGGGGGACCUUCGGGCCUCUCGCCAUCAGAUGUGCCCAGAUGGGAUUAGCUAGUAGGUGAGGUAAUGGCUCACCUAGGCGACGAUCCCUAGCUGGUCUGAGAGGAUGACCAGCCACACUGGAACUGAGACACGGUCCAGACUCCUACG